UACCGUAUGUGSCCUUCGGGGGAAAGAUUUAUCGGCAAAGGAUCGGCCCGCGUUGGAUUAGCUAGUUGGUGAGGUAAAGGCUCACCAAGGCGACGAUCCAUARCUGGUCUGAGAGGAUGAUCASCCACACUGGGACUGAGACACGGCCCARACUCCUACGGGAGGCAGCAGUGGGGAAUAUUGGACAAUGGGCGCMAGCCUGAUCCAGCCAUGCCGCGUGAGUGAUGAAGGCCCUAGGGUUGUAAAGCUCUUUCACCGGUGAAGAUAAUGACGGUAACCGGARAAKAAKCCCCGGCUAACUUCGUGCCAGCAGCCGCGRUAAUAC
rnacentral:rRNA from 1 species